UAGAUCCCAGCACUGGCACUCCUAAUGGAAAGAUGUGUUACUACUGUAAGGAGAACAGUUGCUUAUAUUCUCUGAGCUGCUCAGGGACAGAAGAUCACUGCGUUACAGCAACAGCUGAUUUCUCAGGCCAGCCAGAGAUUUUAAAAGGAUGUGCAUCGAAAUCUUUCUGUGAUGCCAAAGGAACGGGUCCAUUUAAGAGCUUCUCCUGUUGUUCAGGGAAUCUAUGUAACGGAGCUAAAAGUGUCACUCAGAGCUUUCUGAUUCUCUGUCUUCCUCUGAUCACCUUCAUCCUGAUGCUCUGACUACACGCUAUCUGACUACACGCUAUUGUUUCUACAGCCUGUUUUAUACACAACAGUAUGACUUGCAUUGUCUCUGGAGCUGUACUGUAUGUGAUAUUUUUGCUGUGACAUUCUGAUGUAAUGUUUUAUAAAAUAAAGGCCCAAAUUUA